rnacentral:rRNA from 1 species
AACGAACGCUGGCGGCAUGCCUAACACAUGCAAGUCGAACGAGAGGUUUCGGCCUCUAGUGGCGCACGGGUGAGUAGCGCGUGGGAACCUGCCCUCUUGUGGGGGAUAACCGAGGGAAACUUCGGCUAAUACCGCAUAAGCCCGGGACUCCGGGGAAAGAUUUAUCGCGAGAGGAGGGGCCCGCGUCGGAUUAGCUAGUUGGUGGGGUAAUGGCCUACCAAGGCAGUGAUCCGUAGCUGGUCUGAGAGGAUGAUCAGCCACACUGGGACUGAGACACGGCCCAGACUCCUACGGGAGGCAGCAGUGGGGAAUAUUGGACAAUGGGCGCAAGCCUGAUCCAGCAAUGCCGCGUGAGUGAGGAAGGCCUUAGGGUUGUAAAGCUCUUUCACCCACGACGAUGAUGACGGUAGUGGGAGAAGAAGCCCCGGCUAACUUCGUGCCAGCCGCCGCCGUAAAAC